AUGCCUCAAAAGCUUCGUUACAAAGCUAAUUCUUUUUUAUGAAAUCAGUGUUCGGGUGGUUUUUUCACUUCACUAACUCUGGAUCCAGAGGCGGAUUCAGGAUUUGGAGGUUCCGGGUGCCACGUUGUUAGUAAAGGAUUUUCGAUGGAAAAUUUGUCGAAAAUAUUAUCGACGAGCCAAAUUCAGAAGGCGUACGUGUGCAUAUAUAUAUAUUUAUUGUUUCAGGUUUUCAAGCAAGCAAAAAUUAAAAAACACCCGCGCUGGCUGCAUGAUUCGAACUCCCACCACUCGGCGGAAUUUGAACCUUUCGCCAUUGGCACCAUGGUCUUCUUUGUUACUCUUGGUGGCAUGCGAGCUAUGUAUAUAAUUUCUUUGAUAUAUAUACAUAUACUCCCUCGGCCCUUAAUAGAUCCGCUCCUAUCUGGAUCACACCCUUAGAUGUUCAUCAGUUGAAAUAUAACCCCAGAUCUCCCAAAGUUAUUUCUCUUUUAUUGACCACCAUGUGACACCCUUGAGAGAUCAAUAUUUCAUUGGAACAAAAUCAUUGGGGAGGGUGAAAGGGUGACCCGAUCUCUUCUUUCUCAUUAAAGGCGUGUAAAGACAGUCCGAAGGCUAAUCUGGUCGUUGUCUCGAAGGCGAAAACUGCUUUUACCAAUCAUAGCCCAAAACUCGUUGCCUAGCAAGCCACUCCCAAGACCAAAUUGCAUGAUUUUCCCUUCAAAUGGGCUGUCGUUAUAUUAUACCCUUGACAAUCAAACUUAUACCUAGUAGGGAAUAAAUUCUUUUAAGAGUGCGAGGUGUAACUUGUAAUUCUUUAAGGGCGUGAGGCGUAACUCGGAGGGUAACAUGAUGCGAGAGAUUAAACUUAUGUCCCGCAAAAAAAGUUAUUUGUUAUGAGGAGCAAAAAAUUAAAGACCAGCCCAAAUUCCUGAAUGUCGUUGGGUACUGCCAGCACCGAGUGUACUAUAUACUGCAUGUUAUAUCUCCUGCUACGUAACUUGUUUCCAGGUACAUCUUUUGUUUUCAGCAGAGCCAGCAUUCCAUCAGGACUAUUAUUAUUAUAAAUAAGACAUGGCACAAUCGUUCAAUUUAGGCAUAAUACAUAAACAGACCCUCAAACUUUCAUCUUUUAAGUAUGCCCUCCAACUUUGAGACUGCACAAAUAGCCACCUCAACUUCUAAAAAAUUGAACACACAAACACAAAUGCUAACGUGACACAUAAUUUUUGAAGUGUCUAGAUGAUUAUUUGUAAGUUGAAGUAUUCAACUGACAAAGUGGAGACAAGUUGAGGUGCCUACUUGUGCACACCCAAAGUUAGAAGGCAUACUUAAAAAAUGAGACCAAGUUUGAGGGCCUAUUUAUUUAUUAAGCCUUCAAUUUACUGUGCCCAACACUGCCGAUUUGUGCCAUCAGAAAUAUAGCUACAUGAAUGAAAUAACUAAAUAAGAUCUUCGAAAUUAUAUUGUUUCAAGUUACAAUGUAUUAUAAACAAUCAUCCAAAAACUGUUAGAUUCCAAUAUGAGCACAAAGUUAUGUGUACAAUAUCACAUUUGUUCCCACACCUCUCCUCUUCAACUACCAACCAACUAGGUGAAAAGAAAAGAAAAGGAAAAAAAAAAAAGAGAUAAUAAAAAGAAUACAAACUCGCCCACCAAAAAAAAA